GUCAACACACCAGAGGGAUGGGAUGCCAUCCAGGGGGACCCAGACAGGCUAGAGUAGUGAACCCCAGUGAACCUCAUGAGGUUUAACAAAUCCAAAUGCAAGAUCUUGCACCUGGGUUCAGGCAAGCCCCAUUACUAAUACAAGCUGUGGGGAGGAAAGGAUUGAGCACAGCCCUGCCUAAAAAGUCCUGGGGGUACUGAUGGAUGGGAAGCUGGACAUGAGCCUGCAAUGUACCCUCACAGCCCAAAAAGCCAACUAUGCACCACCAUCUUUGCUGUGGGGCUCAGCCCUGUUUUAUGGUGAGGCCAUUGGAGGUGGUUGGAAGCACCUUUGUCCAGCAUGAAGAAGUCUAUGGCAUCUCCUCACAUCUCCAAAGGCUUGUCGUGCUGAAAAGUCCCAGCUCUCUCAGACUUUCAUCUCGUAUACUGGAAAGUCCAGAAAUGUACACAGCAUCGUCCCACCAGUGCUGAACAGAAAGAAUCACCUCUCUUGAACUGCUGCCAAUUCAUAAAAAUGAAGAAACAUC